rnacentral:rRNA from 1 species
GUGUCAGCAGCCGCGGUAACACGUACUGUGCGAACGUUAUUCGGAAUCACUGGGCUUAAAGGGUGCGUAGGCGGCAAUUCAAGUCAGGUGUGAAAUGCCUGAGCUCAACUGAGGCAUUGCGCUUGAAACUGAACUGCUUGAGUAUCCCAGGGGUGUGCGGAACUGCCAGUGGAGCGGUGAAAUGUGUUGAUAUUGGCAGGAACACCGGAGGCGAAAGCGGCACACUGGGGGAUAACUGACGCUGAGGCACGAAAGCCAGGGGAGCGAACGGGAUUAGAAACCCUAGUAGUCC